rnacentral:rRNA from 1 species
AUGGCGCCAAGAAGGAGCAGCGCAGUGGCCGUCACGCUGGUAGCUUGGCUACUUGUGCUCCAGGUACUAGUCCUGUCGCCGGCGCCUGCUGCGGCGGCGCCGGCGAGGGUCUCACCGGGGGCGUUCAAGCAGGUGUACACCUUCUUGUUCAAAAAGGCUGCCAAGUCGGGCACGACUGCGCUGAUCAAGAAGCGACGUGGCAACCGCAACGGCGACCAGCUGGGUAGCGCGGCCGCCGACAACGCCGGCUACGUCGUCCUCUACAACGUCUCCAUCGGGGCCAUGGCGACGCAGCAGAACAACGUCUCCGGCGUCGUGGACGUCCUGAAUGACUUCGUCUGGACCACGCGGUGCCCGGCGGCGCCGGUCAGGAUCCCAUGCGCCAGCCAGACGUGCCGGAGCGUGAUCAACACCACCGAUGCCUGCGGUGGCGGCGACGCCAGCUGCGGGUACGUCUACAUGUACGGGCAGGGUAUCAACACCACGGGCUUCCUCGCCAACGAGACGGUCGGCGUGGGGAGCAUCGCCGGCCGCGCGUUGUUGGGGUGCAGCGCCAAUGACAGCACGCUGCCCCUCGACGGCGAGUCCGCCGGCAUCGGGUUCAACAGGGGCCCACUCUCCCUCGUGUCGCAGCUCAGCAUCUCCCGGUUCUCCUACUUCCUGGCAACCGACGAACCUGGGAGCUCCGACUCCGAGAGCGUCGUGCUCCUCGGCGACGCCGCCGUGCCGCAGACCAAAAGCAGCCGCUCCAUGCCGCUGCUCCGGAGCACCGUCUUCCCUAACUUCUACUACGUCAAGCUCACCUCCAUACAGGUCGACGGCGUGGCCCUGAGCGGCAUUCCCGCGGGGGCGUUCGACCUCGCAGCCGACGGCAGCUCCGGCGGGGUGGUGAUCAGCACGCUCUCCCCCGUCACCCUCCUCCAGGCGGCAGCCUACGAUGCGCUGAGGCAGGCCUUGGUGAGCAAGGUAAGGUCGGAGCCCGUGAACGGCUCCGCGCUCGCCGGCGGCGCCUUUGACCUAUGCUACAACGCGCAGUCCGUGGCGGCGCUGACGUUCCCCAAGAUUAAGCUGGUGUUUGACGGCGGGGAUGCGCCGGCAAUCGAGCUCACGACGGUGCACUACUUCUACAAGGACAACGUCACCGGGCUGCAGUGCCUCACCAUGUUGCCGACGCCGGCAGGUGUACCAUUCGGCUCUGUCCUGGGAAGCAUGGUGCAGGCGGGCACCAACAUGAUCUACGACGUCGGCGGCGAGACGCUGACGCUAGAGGAGGGCACGGCGGCGCCGGCGCCCUCCCAGGUAUCGCUCAUGGCGAUAGCCCCUCUGCUCCUUGCUUGGGUACUCCUCUUCUAA